rnacentral:tRNA from 1 species
GUUGUGGCUCAGUGGUAAAGCACUUGCCUGGCAUGUGUGAAGCCCUGGGUUCAAUACUCAGCACAACA